UACGUAGGGGGCAAGCGUUAUCCGGAUUUACUGGGUGUAAAGGGAGCGUAGGCGGCAAUACAAGUCAGAAGUGAAAACCCAAGGCUCAACCAUGGGACUGCUUUUGAAACUGUGUUGCUAGAGUACAGGAGAGGUAAGCGGAAUUCCUAGUGUAGCGGUGAAAUGCGUAGAUAUUAGGAGGAACAUCAGUGGCGAAGGCGGCUUACUGGACUGAAACUGACGCUGAUGCUCGAAAGCGUGGGGAGCAAAC
rnacentral:rRNA from 1 species